rnacentral:piRNA from 1 species
CCCCUCAUCAUUACCCCUCGCUGCUGUCAUC